AACGAACGCUGGCGGCAGGCUUAACACAUGCAAGUCGAACGCCCCGCACGGGGAGUGGCAGACGGGUGAGUAUCGCGUGGGAACAUACCCUUUUCUACGGAAUAGCUCUGGGAAACUGGAAUUAAUACCGUAUACGCCCUACGGGGGAAAGAUUUAUCGGGGAAGGAUUGGCCCGCGUUGGAUUAGCUAGUUGGUGGGGUAAAAGCCUACCAAGGCGACGAUCCAUAGCUGGUAUGAGAGGAUGAUCAGCCACAUUGGGACUGAGACACGGCCCAGACUCCUACGGGAGGCAGCAGUGGGGAAUAUUGGACAAGGGGCGGAAGCCUGAUCCAGCAAUGCCGCGUGAGUGAUGAAGGCCUUAGGGUUGUAAAGCUCUUUUACCCGGGAUGAUAAUGACAGUACCGGGAGAAUAAGCUCCGGCUAACUCCGUG
rnacentral:rRNA from 1 species